GUAGGGUGCGAGCGUUAAUCGGAAUUACUGGGCGUAAAGCGUGCGCAGGCGGUUCGUUAAGUCAGAUGUGAAAGCCCCGGGCUCAACCUGGGAACUGCAUUUGAAACUGGCGGGCUUGAGUGUGGCAGAGGGGGGUGGAAUUCCGCGUGUAGCAGUGAAAUGCGUAGAGAUGCGGAGGAACACCGAUGGCGAAGGCAGCCCCCUGGGCCAACACUGACGCUCAGGCACGAAAGCGUGGGGAGCAAACAGGAUUAGAUACCCUGGUAGUCCACGCCCUAAACGAUGCUCACUAGGUGUUGGGGAAGCGAUUCCUUGGUACCGUAGCUAACGCGUGAAGUGAGCCGCCUGGGGAGUACGGCCGCAAGGUUA
rnacentral:rRNA from 1 species